rnacentral:rRNA from 1 species
AGCGAACGCUGGCGGCAGGCCUAACACAUGCAAGUCGAACGAAGUCUUCGGACUUAGUGGCGGACGGGUGAGUAACACGUGGGAACGUACCUUUUGGUUCGGAACAACUCAGGGAAACUUGAGCUAAUACCGGAUGUGCCCUUAGGGGGAAAGAUUUAUCGCCAUUAGAGCGGCCCGCGUUGGAUUAGGUAGUUGGUGAGGUAAAGGCUCACCAAGCCUACGAUCCAUAGCUGGUCUGAGAGGAUGAUCAGCCACACUGGGACUGAGACACGGCCCAGACUCCUACGGGAGGCAGCAGUGGGGAAUCUUGCGCAAUGGGCGAAAGCCUGACGCAGCCAUGCCGCGUGAAUGAUGAAGGUCUUAGGAUUGUAAAAUUCUUUUACCAGGGACGAUAAUGACGGUACCUGGAGAAAAAGCCCCGGCUAACUUCGUGCCAGCCGCCGCCGUAAUAC